rnacentral:rRNA from 1 species
CAAUAGCGUAUAUUAAAGCUGUUGCGGUUAAAAAGCUCGUAGUUGGAUUUCUGUCAAGUACAACUGGUCCGCCCUCCGGGUGAGCACAUAGUUUGGUCUUGGCAUCUUGCUGGAAAUUGUUGCUGCACUUGGCUGUGUGGCGCAGUGUCCAGCACUUUCACUUUGAGGAAAUUGGAGUGUUUCAAGCAGGCACAUGCCUUUGGACACAGUAGCAUGGAAUAAUUAGAUUGGGCUUUUGCUCCAAUUUGUCGGUUUCUGGAGCUGAGGUGAGUAUUAAUGGGGAUUGUUGGGGGCAUCCGAAUUUAGCCGUCAGAGGUGAAAUUCUUGGAUCUGCUAAAGACGGACAACUGCGAAAGCGUUUGCCCAGGAUGUUUUCAUUGA